GAUGAACGCUAGCGGCAGGCCUAAUACAUGCAAGUCGAACGAGAUUGAGGAGCUUGCUCCUCAUGAAAGUGGCGCACGGGUGCGUAACGCGUAUGCAAUCUACCUUAAUCAGGGGGAUAGCCCGGAGAAAUCCGGAUUAAUACCGCAUAACGUUAUUUUAUGGCGUCAUAGAAUAACCAAACAUUUAUGGGAUUAAGAUGAGCAUGCGUGACAUUAGUUAGUUGGUGAGGUAACGGCUCACCAAGACUACGAUGUCUAGGGGAUCUGAGAGGAUGGCCCCCCACACUGGUACUGAGACACGGACCAGACUCCUACGGGAGGCAGCAGUAAGGAAUAUUGGUCAAUGGGCGCAAGCCUGAACCAGCCAUGCCGCGUGCAGGAAGACGGCCCUAUGGGUUGUAAACUGCUUUUAUUCGGGAAUAAACCUCUUUACGUGUAAGGAGCUGAAUGUACCGAAGGAAUAAGGAUCGGCUAACUCCGUGCCAGC
rnacentral:rRNA from 1 species